AAGAAAGUGCAGUACUCCACCCUCGUUUUGAGAAACCCCCCAGAAAGAGGAAUUUUUUUUUUUUUUUAAUAUUAGAGGGCCCUAGGUGCAUGUCAUGCAGGAGCCGCUAGGUGGCGGUGUAGCGAGAGGGCGCAAAGCGGCAGAUGAGAAGCCUCUCUGGACAGACCCCGUGGCAGAAGAGGAAGCAGCACGUGGGGCGGCGCUCUACGGUGUCCGAGGGACAGCGGCUGCUCUCUGAGCCCUAAAUCCAGAAGCGCACGGGAAGCUGCAGCGACAGUGGAUUCUGUAGUCGGAGCCCCAGAGGGCGCCCGGAAGCCGGCACCAUGGUGAAGGAGUGGUUCUGGGAGACCAAUGUAGCUAAGAAAAUGGAAGACGCGGCCGGUGGCGGAGCCUGGGGUUCCAGGAGAACUUGAAUCCCUUAGUUGUUCUGAAUUUGUUUAAGCGCAUCCUCGCUGAAGAUGUCCUUUUACUUCUGAUGAACCCAGAAGCUGGAAAGCCCUCUGAUUUGAUUCUCACCCGACUUUUGGUGCCUCCCUUGUGUAUCAGACCCUCUGUCAUGAGCGAUUUGAAGUCUGGAACCAAUGAAGAUGACCUGAGAAUGAAACUGACAGAGAUCAUUUUCCUAAAUGAUGCUAUUAAAAAGCACUGGAUCUCAGGAGCCAAGACACAGCUGAUAAUGGAGAACUGGGAUUUCCUGCAGCUGCAGUGUGCCCUCUACAUCAACAGUGAGCUCUCUGGCAUCCCCCUCAACAUGGCCCCCAAGAAGUGGACUUGAGGCUUUGUCCAGCGCCUGAAGGGGAAGCA